ensembl:lncRNA
AUUGGGAUCUUUUAAAAUAAAUAAAGAAGAAUAUGAAAUAGCUUUUUGAGGACCUCCUCUACACUUACACCAGAUAGUCCAGGCAAAAAUGUAGAAAGAAAAUUAAAGACUACUCAAGGAAUUGACAGCAGAGUGUUCUGGUGAAUAUGGAGCCUAUCACAAAAGCAGUCCUUCACUUCCUCUCAAGGAAGUUUUCUUCAUUAUUGCCAUGAGAUGAAGACAAAAAGAGAACAAGACUGUUCUCUGAUUUGCCAUACCUGGAAGUGAGCUGUGGUGAGCAGCAAGCCUGAAUCAUCAGCAGGGGCUGAUGAGGAAUAAAUGAGCUGCUAGUCAUCUGCUCCUUUUCUAUCUUCCACCAGUCAGUGCAAGUCAAUCUUCCAGAUUUUACUAUUGUUAUUAAUGUCA